CGGACGGGUGAGUAACACGUGGAUAACCUACCUAUAAGACUGGGAUAACUUCGGGAAACCGGAGCUAAUACCGGAUAAUAUAUUGAACCGCAUGGUUCAAUAGUGAAAGACGGUUUUGCUGUCACUUAUAGAUGGAUCCGCGCUGCAUUAGCUAGUUGGUAAGGUAACGGCUUACCAAGGCAACGAUGCGUAGCCGACCUGAGAGGGUGAUCGGCCACGACUGGAACUGAGACACGGUCCAGACUCCUACGGGAGGCAGCAGGC
rnacentral:rRNA from 1 species